UGGGGAAUAUUGGACAAUGGGGGAAACCCUGAUCCAGCAAUGCCGCGUGAGUGAAGAAGGCCUUAGGGUUGUAAAGCUCUUUCGCCCGCGAAGAUAAUGACGGUAGCGGGAGAAGAAGCCCCGGCUAACUCCGUGCCAGCAGCCGCGGUAAUACGGAGGGGGCUAGCGUUGUUCGGGAUUACUGGGCGUAAAGCGUACGUAGGCGGAUGCGCAAGUUGGGGGUGAAAUCCCGGGGCUUAACCUCGGAAUUGCCCUCAAAACUGCACGUCUUGAGACCGAGAGAGGUAAGGGGAAUUCCAGGUGUAGUGGUGAAAUACGUAGAUAUCUGGAAGAACACCAGUUGCGAAGGCGGUCUCUUGGUCCGACACUGACGCUGAGGCGCGAAAGCGUGGGGAGCAAACA
rnacentral:rRNA from 1 species